GACGGAGCAACGCCGCGUGAGGGAUGAAGGCCUCUGGGCUGUAAACCUCUUUUCUCAAGGAAGAAGAACUGACGGUACUUGAGGAAUAAGCCACGGCUAAUUCCGUGCCAGCAGCCGCGGUAAUACGGGAGUGGCAAGCGUUAUCCGGAAUUAUUGGGCGUAAAGCGUCCGCAGGUGGCCCUGUAAGUCUGUCGUUAAAGCGUGGAGCUUAACUCCAUUUAAGCGAUGGAAACUACAGGGCUAGAGUGUGGUAGGGGCAGAGGGAAUUCCCGGUGUAGCGGUGAAAUGCGUAGAUAUCGGGAAGAACACCAGUGGCGAAGGCGCUCUGCUGGGCCAUCACUGACACUCAUGGACGAAAGCCAGGGGAGCGAAAGGGAUUAGAUACCCCUGUAGUCCUGGCCGUAAACGAUGAACACUAGGUGUCGGGGGAAUCGACCCCCUCGGUGUCGUAGCCAACGCGUUAAGUGUUCCGCCUGGGGAGUACGCACGCAAGUGUGAAACUCAAAGGAAUUGACGGGGGCCCGCACAAGCGGUGGAGUAUGUGGUUUAAUUCGAUGCAACGCGAAGAACCUUACCAGGGUUUGACAUCCUGCGAAUCCCUUGGAAACGAGGGAGUGCCUUCGGGAGCGCAGAGACAGGUGGUGCAUGGCUGUCGUCAGCUCGUGUCGUGAGAUGUUGGGUUAAGUCCCGCAACGAGCGCAACCCACGUCGUUAGUUGCCAGCAUUCAGUUGGGCACUCUAGCGAGACCGCCGGUGAUAAACCGGAGGAAGGUGUGGAUGACGUCAAGUCAUCAUGCCCCUUACAUCCUGGGCUACACACGUACUACAAUGCUACGGACAAAGGGCAGCAAGCUCGCGAGAGUUAGCAAAUCCCAUAAACCGUGGCUCAGUUCAGAUCGUAGGCUGCAACUCGCCUACGUGAAGGAGGAAUCGCUAGUAAUCGCAGGUCAGCAUACUGC
rnacentral:rRNA from 1 species